GAGGGGCGGGCCCGGCGGAGCCGCCCGCGCUGGGCCGCGGUGCGGAGGCACCGGCGCGGGCCGCCCCCGUUUUUUAUUUUUUUUUAAGCAGCGAAAUGCGCCCUCCUUUUGCCUUUUCUGGUUGUUUUUUUUUCCUUCGCCUCCUACGGAAAAAGCGCACCUGCAAGAAAGGCAGGAGGCGGGGGAGGAAAGGGGGCCACCGGGCUCGCCACGCCUCGCUGCUGCUCCCCUGCCCCAGGGAAUUUGGGCCCACUCUUGCUUUGAGGGGAGGGGGGGGGGGACACCCCAGUGCGCAGUGCACCCCUGUGCACAGGACACCCCGCCACACAACACACCGGUGCACAAUCCACCGGUACACCCAGGUACACAAUGCACCUGGGUGCACAGUGCACUGAUACACCCCCGUGCGUAAUGCACCCGGGUGCACCACACAGCCCAACGACCUGUCUCUGCAACUGCAGCAGGAUGACACCCGUCUUAAAGAAUAAAAAAAAAAGGAAAAAAAAGGAAAAAAAAGGAAAAAAAAGAAAAAAAGAAAAAAAGAAAAAAGAAAAAAAGAAGAAAAAAGAAAAAAAAGAAAAAGAAAAAGAAAACAGGAAAAAGAAAACAAGAAAAAAAAGAAAAAAGAAAAAAAGAAAAACUUGGUCUAUUUAACAUAGAAUAACACAAGGACCAACAAGGACGUAACAUCCCAGUGGCAAAACACCAGCAAGGCAGAAGAACCAUUUAAGCCGAGAGGCAAUGUUGGCACAAGAACUAACAGGUAUAAAGUGGCCCUGAAUAAACCUGUGGAAUUCCCCCGAAACCCGCAGGGUCCGGCCGCCGGCAGGAAAGGCAGGCGUCUGGCACAGCAUCCCCGGAGGAGUGAAUACAAAUCAAACCGGUUUUAAGGUGACGCUUGAUCGGAUGGUGGAAAGGGUUACAGAAGGCAUUUGCCCACCAGCAGAGCAGCCGUUUAACGCGGCGGCGCGAGCUUGGCAAUCCCACGGCCCGGAGCGGGACCGGCUUGCUGGGAGAGCACGCUGCUCCGCCUGACGGACCGCCGGCACCACCGGUGCCUCUCCCGAGGGAGGAACGGGGGAAGGUGAAGCGAUACCGCUGCAGUUUCGUGCUGGCCAAAAGCCUUCAGCUUUUCUGUGCCGAGGAAUAGCUCGCUCGAGUUAUCUGAACAUGCAUCAUCUCAAGUCUGCGCUACUUUCAUUCAUGGGCACUAAGGGAAAACUUGCAGAGAGACUUUUGCUCGCAGGCACCGCAGCAAACUGAGCCAUAGCGAUGCUGUGGUGACACCGGAGGCGCUUGGCCGCUGCGCUCGGUACCUACCCGUUGCCCCCAACCAACGCGACUCCCAGCUCAAGGCUGUCUAUCAUCACCCCCCAUUUCCCACCCAUCAUUUCCACUGGAGAAAUGCAGCCUCCAGAGCCUAGGCAAGGAGACUGUAGACAGCUCUUUAGCUGGAGAUCUCUCCGUUCUUGGUCACUUGUCGAAUGCCUCUCCCCUCUUGGAGAAAGCUUUUGAUUAGGGCUGAAAAAAUGACAUAAAAGAUAGCAAGUUGAGGAGAAACCUCAGUAUCAAGCCACAAGAACUACAACGACCCUACUCUUCCUGCCCUGACUGUAUUUUAGACAGAGCUUGCAUUUUUCCCUCUGAAUGCAGAAGGAAGGAGCAUGGGAAUUAAUUUAACACAGUAGUCAGCUAGCCUUGCAGAUACAGCCCAUCUCCGAAGGACCUAGGCACUUCAGUCCUGUUCGAAUGCUAAUGAAAUGCCCUAGGUGCCAGAUCUCUGACACAGACACGGGAAAUCAGCUGCAGUUGUGAAAGACAACAAGCCACAGAAAAAACAGCCCAUAAAUUAUGAACAGAUUAACAAUGCACAAUAAAAUAAUUCUUCCUUAGACAGUAGUUAACCUAACGCUAGCCUCCUGUAUGCCGAGAUGCUGAACUCCAAGCUAUAGUGGUACUACGCAGCUACUUUUGCUUUUGCUUUCACUCGCAGCUAGCGGGUGGCUGCAGUUCAGCCUCAAUGAUCUGCUCUCCACUUCUCAUCAACACAUUUUUUCCACCAAACACGUUUUCUUGCAUUGCUAAUUUCUGUAGCCUCAGGCCUCCGCUGCAUGCGGCGCACUCGUGAUGUUGGUGGUCAUCCCGGCUCUUAAGCCUGUGACUUUCGCUGGAGGAAGACGUUUGCGGCAUGGCUCUUCCCACUUCAGGGAGCUAGCCGCUAAAGCUCUCCGAGUUAUAAAAGGAUUUACGGUCAUCUUUACCUCCCGCUUUCUUCUUUAUCGACCCUUCUUUGAUUUUUCAUGAAUAAUGCAUUUCUUUCUGAAGAAAAAGUAAUAUUUACUAUUAUCAUGUCCCCCCAAAAUUCUGAUGAAUUUUGUAAACGAAGGAAACGCAUGUGCCUUAUGGCUCGACCGAGACACGUCCAGAACCUGGUUGCUCGCCCAGGCCCCUCGGCCACUUCCAGGUGCUUUCCUGCCCGCUGCGAGGGUGAAAGGGCCGCCCGUGUAUUGCUUAAGUUUCCUUUUCCUGAGCAACCGGGAAUGGUUUGUGCACAGAGGUUUGGCGAGGUUUAAUUACAGUCCAGCGGCUGCAGAGGACGGGCAUGCUGAGUGACGUCCUCAAGCUACAUUUGACCUACACCACCAGCACCAACUACCUGGGGCUUGGCAAGGAAACACCUAGACCUUCAGAGCCAUCCUUGCGGUUAUUUAUAUUAACGCACAUCACGGGAGUGGAGACGCAGCUUCGCCUCUAAUCUUCAGCAUAGCGCGUUGCCUUAGCGAGGGAGGGAGCGCGUGCAAGCUGCGGCAGGACGAGCGCUCUGCGGGGCCACCCGGACACCAGAGCCAUCACAAAAUUAUUAUUAUUAUCCAUACCAGCAUGGGUAACACAGUCAAGUGCUGCUACACAGAGCCUUUUCACGGGGCAGGCAUGUCUUACGUCGCUGUGCCACCUUCGAUGUGCCAAAGCGCUUCAUUCAAGCCGGUAUGUGAUUUUUGCAUCCAUGUAAGGGAACUGAUGGAAAAAUGAAUAUAGUCCAAACUAGUGAAAUUCCACCAUACCAGCAGCUCUGCCAAUGCAUUUAUCAAUGUACAGAAUGAAACUUAAACAAACAAAAAACAGAGUUUGCAUGUUGCAUUGACUUAAUUCAACUGGAUUUUAUAACUAUUUGGGUAAAUCCACAGAAAAAACCCAGCAUGUACAGAAGCCUCCCUAGGCCUUUGCAACCACCUCUAAGGCUGUAUUUCUCUGGAAAGAGCUGAAACCAACCGUGUGCAUAGUGAGAUCUGAGAACACGUCAAAAAGAUCUUAUUUUUAGCUGCCGCCCACAAAAAACACUGCAGCAACUUAUAGCUAUUCCCACGGUAAAUAAAAUACAUCUAAUCCUUACUGACAAAGGAGAAUGGAGAGGGGGAAAAAAGAAAGAAAGAAAGAAAGAGGCUGAUAUUUAUACAUUUUAAGAAGUUGUACCAAAUUUACACACACCAGUGGUACAUUCACGUGGGAAUUAUGUUAAAAUGAUUUAUGUCCCUCCUGCUGUUUGGCAAAACUCCGGUGGCCUCGCUGGCUUUGCAAGGGCAGCCGUCGCACAGCUCUGCGCGUCACCAGCAGAAGAGCAAAACCUGCGCCGUGUCAGUAUUUCUGGCCAAAACGCCAUGCAUAAACUAAGACGAGCACAAGGGACUGGAGGCACCGUCGGCACUGAAGAGCAUCCUGCUUCCCUAGCUGCCAGAAGUCAAAGAAAAACGAAGCAUCGCCAUGCCCAAGCCUCUCCUGCCCCAGGUGCUGCAGCCUAUCAUCCCAGUCAAAUUUCCACCUUGGAAAUGCUCGUGCCUUUUUUUUGCCCCAUCUGUUCCCACCCAAAGGUUGUCCUGGAGCCCGUCCGUUUUAAUGGUUAGGAACCCGCGCCUUAUUUCCAGACUAAGUUUAGUCACAGACACAUUUAAAUAGCCCUUCUCCCUCCCGGCUGCUUUACUCCUGUUUAUUUUUAGCUGGAAACCGUAUCCCCUGCCAACCUGCCUUUCGCUAGGCCAAGCGAGUCGGCCUCGCCGCCGCCGGUGAGGAAAGCUGGUGGCGCGGCCCGUGAUCUCGGCAGCCUCCCUUCACACCCCUCCGGGUUUGUAUUUUCCAUCAACGUGAGACAUCAAAGUCAUGUGUGGCCUGCUGAGGACACCUUAGCGGCAGCAUCUUCCGAGAGGGCAAAGCAGCAGAAGCGCAGAACCGAGCAGCGGACAUUUCUCACCUAUGCUUUCCUACCAGGCAGGCGGCAACGGCCUAACCUGGAUAAAUCAAAAUUAUGGAUACCUGGGUUAUUUCCUACAAACGUAUUUAGCACAUCCACCCACGGAGAAACACGCCAGCCAGUUUCUGCAGAGGAGAAGCAACGGCGAGCAGAGCAGGACCUAACGCAACCAACUUUGACGGACCACCUCGAACAGCCCACAGCAUCCAUGCAGCUCCAGGUGGGAUUCGUGGUUGGGAUAAUCCAUCCACAGACAACCAGGAGCUGGCAGGACUUGGGAGGAACACGAAGUGUCGGCAAUGCAUUAGCCUGCACCUCCCUUCUCUGCAUACGAGGACAAGGCUCCAACACGCAGCGGUGACACGGUUCCCCUCGCUCUCUAAGCUUUUGUUUUAGAAGAAAACAUGAUAGUGACAGAAGGGGGGGGGGGGUUAAUCUUCUUUGGCAUGGUGUACACGUCAAACGUGCAACUCUGGUUGCACAACAGCAGCAGCAGCGCCCAUGCUUCGUGUUAGAGACUCAUUAAAGCAGCAAUUAGGAAAUUGGAGAAAGGAGGAAGAAGAAAGAAAAGAAAGAAAGUGGGAGGAGGGGAAGAGAGAAAAGCUUUCGCCAACAUGUGUUGCCUCUAAACUGAUACCGCUUCUAAAAAUACAAAAGCAGAGAGCUGACAGGAAAACGUCGGCAAACACAGGGCAGCAGGAGCCCAUCACCUCGCCUCACCCAGGAACAAUUUGGGCAUCCGUCCGCUGAGCAACGUUUCCGGGCCGUUAGCUGCUGUGUCCGACCCCUGGAAGGAGGCAGCUAACGCGAGGACAAGGGACCCGUCACCUUACCUGUCCCUCGGCACGAAGAUGGCUGGCGGAGAGCAGGACAGAUGCCCAUCUCGCUGCUGCAGUAAGAGGGCGUCCAGGGAUGCCGGGCGCCAGCGGCCCUCCCGCAGCCAUCGAGGGACGCUGCUAUUGAUGCACCCCGCACCAACGAUACUCCAGUACUAUUCCAUGUUUCAAAACCACACUAAAGACAACCCAUUUUUUUGUAUAAAACGAAUACCGUAUCCCAUAUGUAAAGGCAACGUACCUAUCAAAUCUCAUCUGCGCUCUGCAAAGCAGCAAAACAGACGAUGGCUUCAGUCUGCAACCGGUUGCCUGUAUUACAGGGAGGGACAGGGAUAGCGAAGCAGAAGAGCUUAGAGAGACAUGAGGUACACGCAGGCUUGGAUUUUAUAUAGCUUAAAAAAAUACAUUGAUACAUAUAUAUAUGUAUAUAUCAAACUAAGAGUCCUGUAUUCACCUUUUUUUCCAGAAUUAUGUUUGAAACUCAGUUAAGCACACAUUUAUGCUGCUCUUUGGAGCCAGAUCCAAACCAACCCAGAGUCUGAGAUAAGUCAGACCAACCUGGAACAUACUUGCAAGCAUUUGUCCCGGUGGCUAAGCGGCAUUUUCUGCCUUUGAGGGAGCUGUAGCACUAAAUGUCUUCCAAAAGCGACUUCCUCCUGUUGACAGAGAUAAGCCCCAAGAGACUCACGUCCAACUGCCCUGUGCUGGAUACGACAGAAAGGAGAUGCUGGGAAAAGAAGAUGGGCCCAAGCCCCCAGGGAACACUAACUGUACGCUUAUUUUAACCAUCUCGGAUGCUCCGAAUAUUUUACAGGACUGUUCCAGUUGCUGAGAAGUCAAAAGUCUCUCGGUAAUAAAGACCCCUGGGAAACCGA